rnacentral:rRNA from 1 species
UUAGCCGUGGCUUAUUCCUCAGGUACCGUCAUUAUCGUCCCUGAGAAAAGAGGUUUACAACCCGAAGGCCUUCAUCCCUCACGCGGCGUUGCUGCUUCAGGCUUGCGCCCAUUGAGCAAUAUUCCCG